rnacentral:rRNA from 1 species
AAUAGGAUUAGAUACCCUGGUAGUCCACGCUGUAAACGAUGUCGACUUGGAGGUUGUGCCCUUGAGGCGUGGCUUCCGGAGCUAACGCGUUAAGUCGACCGCCUGGGGAGUACGGCCGCAAGGUUAAAACUCAAAUGAAUUGACGGGGGCCCGCACAAGCGGUGGAGCAUGUGGUUUAAUUCGAUGCAACGCGAAGAACCUUACCUACUCUUGACAUCCAGAGAAUUUGCUAGAGAUAGCUUAGUGCCUUCGGGAACUCUGAGACAGGUGCUGCAUGGCUGUCGUCAGCUCGUGUUGUGAAAUGUUGGGUUAAGUCCCGCAACGAGCGCAACCCUUAUCCUUUGUUGCCAGCGAGUAAUGUCGGGAACUCAAAGGAGACUGCCGGUGAUAAACCGGAGGAAGGUGGGGAUGACGUCAAGUCAUCAUGGCCCUUACGAGUAGGGCUACACACGUGCUACGAUGGCAUAUACAAGGAGAAGCGAACUCGCGAGAGCAAGCGGACCUCAUAAAGUAUGUCGUAGUCCGGAUUGGAGUCUGCAACUCGACUCCAUGAAGUCGGAAUCGCUAGUAAUCGUAGAUCAGAAUGCUACGGUGAAUACGUUCCCGGGCCUUGUACACACCGCCCGUCACACCAUGGGAGUGGGUUGCAAAAGAAGUAGGUAGCUUAACCUUCGGGAGGGCGCUUACCACUUUGUGAUUCAUGACUGGGGUGAAGUCGUAACAAGGUAACC